AGUGAACGCUGGCGGUAGGCCUAACACAUGCAAGUCGAACGGCAGCACAGGAGAGCUUGCUCUCUGGGUGGCGAGUGGCGGACGGGUGAGGAAUACAUCGGAAUCUGCCCAGUCGUGGGGGAUAACGUAGGGAAACUUACGCUAAUACCGCAUACGACCUUCGGGUGAAAGAGGGGGAUCGCAAGACCUCUCGCGAUUGGAUGAGCCGAUGUCGGAUUAGCUAGUUGGCGGGGUAAUGGCCCACCAAGGCGACGAUCCGUAGCUGGUCUGAGAGGAUGAUCAGCCACACUGGAACUGAGACACGGUCCAGACUCCUACGGGAGGCAGCAGUGGGGAAUAUUGGACAAUGGGCGCAAGCCUGAUCCAGCCAUACCGCGUGGGUGAAGAAGGCCUUCGGGUUGUGAAGCCCUUUUGUUGGGAAAGAAAUCUUUCAGGCUAAUACCCUGGGAGGAUGACGGUACCCAAAGAAUACGCACCGGCUAACUUCGUG
rnacentral:rRNA from 1 species